AGAGCAUAGGGAGGAUGCCUAGGCACCAAGCGCCGAAGAAGGACGUGGCAGGCUGCGAAAAGCUGCGGGGAGCUGCGAGCAAGCUUUGAACCGCAGAUAUCCGAAUGAGGGAACUCACAUGCUGGGAGAGCAUGAACGUAUACAUGAAUAGAUAGUGUAUACGGGGGAACCCGGUGAACUGAAACAUCUAAGUAACCGGAGGAAAAGAAAGUAAUAACGAUCUUCUGAGUAGCGGCGAGCGAAAGGGAGGGAGCCCAAACCAUUGAUUUACGGAUUAAUGGGGUUACGGACAGUCAGGAAUACAGGACAUGAUAGCCGAAUGGUUUAGGGAAAGCCAGCCGAAGGAGGUAAAAGCCCUGUAGGCGAAAUCAUGGAGAGUAGGGACUGGAUCCAGAGUACCGCAGGACACGAGGAAUCCGGCGGGAAGUCGGGGGGACCACCCCCCAAGGCUAAAUACGACUUGGUGAGCGAUAGCGAAUAGUACCGUGAGGGAAAGGUGAAAAGCACCCCGGGAGGGGAGUGAAAGAGAACCUGAAACCCUAUGUUUACAAGCACAGGGAGCACGUUAAGGGUGCGACCUGGUACUUUUUGUAGAACGGACCGGCGAGUUACGUUAUUAUGCGAGGUUAAGGUAUAGAGUACCGGAGCCGAAGCGAAAGCGAGUCUGAAGAGGGCGGAUAAGUAUAAUGACGUAGACCCGAAACCGUGUGACCUAUCCAUGGACAGGUUGAAGUGGGAGUAAAAUCUCAUGGAGGACCGAACCACACUGCCGUUGAAAAGGUAGGGGAUGAGCUGUGGAUAGCGGGGAAAUUCCAAACGAACACGGAUAUAGCUGGUUCUCCUCGAAAUAGCUUUAGGGCUAGCCUCGUAGGAGAGUGACGGAGGUAGAGCACUGAAUGGGCUAGGGGGCCACAAAGCUUACUGAACCUUAUCAAACUGCGAAUGCCGUACACUUGCUCUGCGGGAGUCAGACUGUGUGAGAUAAGUCUCACGGUCAAAAGGGAAACAGCCCAGACCAACAGCUAAGGUCCCGAAGUACAGGUUAAGUGGAGAAGGAUGUGCCAUUGCGUAGACAACCAGGAUGUUGGCUUAGAAGCAGCCACACAUUAAAAGAGUGCGUAAUAGCUCACUGGUCGAGUGGUGGUGCGCCGAAGAUGGACGGGGCUCAAACCUGACACCGAAGCUUUGGAUUUAUGGAGACAUAAGUGGUAGAGGAGCGAUGUAUGCGGGAAGAAGGAUGACCGGAAGGACAUUUGGACUGCAUAGAAGAGAGAAUGCCGGUAUAAGUAGCGAGAGUGAGGUGAGAAUCCUCACCGUCGAAAGCCAAAGGAUUCCUGAGGAAGGUUCGUCCCCUCAGGGUAAGUCGGGACCUAAGCCGAGGGCGGUAGAGCCGUAGGCGAUGGACAACUGGUAGAUAUUCCAGUACCGUCUUAAACACGCAUGGAGGAAGCAGUGACACAGAAGGAUAGUCAGAGCGCGUUGAUGGUAGAGCGCGUCCAAGCAGAGAGGCUGGCGUUUAGUAAAGAACGGACGCUAAGAGCUGGUCUGUGACGGGGAGUGAACUAAGUAACGAAGCUGAUGAAUUCACGCUGGCGAGAAAAGCUGCUAACGAGUGUAUGAGGCGCCCGUACCGCAAACCGACACAGGUAGGCGAGGAGAGAAUCCUAAGACGAACGAGAGAACCCUUGUUAAGGAACUCGGCAAAAUGACCUCGUAACUUCGGGAGAAGGGGUGCCUGCUGAGAGGCAGGCCGCAGAGAAGAGGCCCAAGCGACUGUUUAACAAAAACACAGGUCUGUGCGAAAUCGAGAGAUGACGUAUACGGGCUGACGCCUGCCCGGUGCUGGAAGGUUAAGGGGAAGAGUUAGGUAUAGACCGAAGCUUAGAACCGAAGCCCCAGUAAACGGCGGCCGUAACUAUAACGGUCCUAAGGUAGCGAAAUUCCUUGUCGGGUAAGUUCCGACCUGCACGAAUGGCGUAACGACUUGGGCGCUGUCUCAACAGGGGACUCGGCGAAAUUGUAGUAUGUGUGAAGAUGCACAUUACCCGCGACUGGACGGAAAGACCCCGUAGAGCUUUACUGUAGCCUGAUAUUGGAUUCUGGUAAUGGAUGUACAGGAUAGGUGGGAGGCUAGGAAGUCAGGGCGUCAGCCUUGGCGGAGCCGCUGUUGGGAUACCACUCUUUCAUUAUUGGAAUUCUAACCCGUAUCCGUGGAGCCGGAGCGGAGACAGUGUCAGGUGGGCAGUUUGACUGGGGCGGUCGCCUCCGAAAGAGUAACGGAGGCGCCCAAAGGUUUCCUCAGAAUGGUUGGGAAUCAUUCAAAGAGUGCAAAGGCAGAAGGGAGCCUGACUGCGAGAGAGACAUUUCGAGCAGAUACGAAAGUAGGGCUUAGUGAUCCGGUGGUAGAGAGUGGAAUUGCCAUCGCUUAACGGAUAAAAGUUACCUCGGGGAUAACAGGCUGAUCUCCCCCAAGAGUUCACAUCGACGGGGAGGUUUGGCA
rnacentral:rRNA from 1 species